CUUUCAAACACAAAUAUUGAACAAUAGAAGUCUUCAACAAACGUAAGUUUUUCGCGUACAAGUUUAUGUUCAGUGCUACUGUAAAUCUAUUUUAACAUCCCAGGGACGCAACUAUCACUUCCAGAUUAAUCUCCGGAUAAUUUCCACGACGAAGCUAUGACCUUUCAAUGAAGUUGCUACAGUAUCUAGGUGAAAGACAAGUGUUAAUAAUGUGAAAUCAACAUGGCAACAUUAUGUUAACCUACAGUACAGUGCUGUAAUGGGAAUGCAUAUGAAACUGCACCACUGUUGUUUGGUAAAGCAUGCACAUGUAUGCGAAAUGAGUAUCUUUAGAUCCAAUUUGGUGUAUCACAUGAUAAGAGGAUUGUAAACAAAGGACAAGUAACUUAUAUAAGGCAGCAUGAAUAGUUAGUACUUGGUGCAUCUGCUGAUCAAUGUGUUUGUAAAAGAGGACAUUAACAACGAUGAGGCUGUAUACCACCAGGAUUACUGCUAAAUGAUGGAAGGUUUACAGAUAAACAAUCCUAUGAUUGGAAUCAAUAUCCAGGGACAGCUCUCCCUUACAGGGGCAAAGUGUAGUGACCUUGUUAUAUGGCCAACAAAGGACAUAGAAGUCAGUCCUAAAGAUAGCUAACUAAAGAAGAAAGUUAUAUAGACUAUUAAACAUUUCAUCAAUUUACCAAUAUCUGUAAGGUCUUUAUAUGAAUAAGGUACAUUGUGUAUAAUUUAAUACAUUCCAUAAUAACUUUGUUUCUCCAUGCACAUGAAUAACAGUAACACCUAAGUAUGGUCACAAAGGGACAGUCAGUGAUCUACAAUUAUUACCCUGAAUGCAUGUAAGAAGCUUUAUGUGAAUGCUCUUAAUGAUUAAUGAAAACAUUUACAUAAGAGUAAAUUUUAUUGUAAAAAUGUGAUGAUAGGAAAUUGUAUGGUACAAAUGUAACAUAUCUGUUUUAAACAUGAUGUUUUAUCUACUAACAUGUAGAAUAUCACCACUGACCAGUCAUCCAUGGUCUGACCACAGGUGAUAUAUUUUUAAUUAAUUUGUGGAAUAGUGCCACUUUUUACAACACUCAAGAGAUUUAUUAUCAAAAUAUCUGAUAGCAUUAAAAGUCAUUUCUUCGUUUAUUUUUCUUUUAUUGAAGGUCAGUUGGGAUAAUCUAACUUUUAUGAUGUAAACGUUCUUAUAAUCUUGCUUUACUGUUAUCAGUAGGAACUAACUAUCAAUUGUAUAGGGAAAAUGAUACAUGAUGUAGUCUCUUAUAAUUUUAUUGUAGAAUGGUAAUAUGUACUUUUUUAUCAAUUUUAGUAUGUUUUAUGUAUAUAUGUAUGCAUAUGAAAGAGACUGAAAUAAACAAAUUUUAUA